rnacentral:rRNA from 1 species
CGUAGGUGGCAAGCGUUGUCCGGAUUUAUUGGGCGUAAAGCGAGCGCAGGCAGAAGAAUAAGUCUGAUGUGAAAGCCCUCGGCUUAACCGAGGAACUGCAUCGGAAACUGUUUUUCUUGAGUGCAGAAGAGGAGAGUGGAACUCCAUGUGUAGCGGUGGAAUGCGUAGAUAUAUGGAAGAACACCAGUGGCGAAGGCGGCUCUCUGGUCUGCAACUGACGCUGAGGCUCGAAAGCAUGGGUAGCGAACAGGAUUAGAUACCCUGGUAGUCCAUGCCGUAAACGAUGAGUGCUAAGUGUUGGGAGGUUUCCGCCUCUCAGUGCUGCAGCUAACGCAUUAAGCACUCCGCCUGGGGAGUACGACCGCAAGGUUG